rnacentral:pre_miRNA from 1 species
UUUAUACUUUCUUCGUCCGAAAAUACUCGUCAUAGAAAUGGAUGUAUCUAAAGGCAUUUUAGUUUUAGGUACAUCUUUUUCUAUAAAUUUGUGCGAUAACUAAUUUCAGACGGAGGGAGUACUCA